rnacentral:rRNA from 1 species
UGCACAAUGGGGGAAACCCUGAUGCAGCGACGCCGCGUGAGCGAAGAAGUAUUUCGGUAUGUAAAGCUCUGUCAGCAGGGAAGAAGAAGAUGGUACCUGACCAAGAAGCCCCGGCUAACUACGUGCCAGCAGCCGCGGUAAUACGUAGGAGGCAAGCGUUAUCCGGAUUUAUUGGGCGUAAAGCGAGCGCAGGCGGUUGCCUAGGUCUGAUGUGAAAGCCUUCGGCUUAACCGAAGAAGUGCAUCGGAAACCGGGCGACUUGAGUGCAGAAGAGGACAGUGGAACUCCAUGUGUAGCGGUGGAAUGCGUAGAUAUAUGGAAGAACACCAGUGGCGAAGGCGGCUGUC